AACCGCUCCGGUGGCCUAGUGGAUAGAGUUUUCGCCUCGGAUGCGGGAGGUCCUGGGUUCAAUCCCUAAUCUAGUCA